rnacentral:rRNA from 1 species
AGUGAACGCUGGCGGUAGGCCUAACACAUGCAAGUCGAACGGCAGCACAGUAAGAGCUUGCUCUUACGGGUGGCGAGUGGCGGACGGGUGAGGAAUACAUCGGAAUCUACUUUUUCGUGGGGGAUAACGUAGGGAAACUUACGCUAAUACCGCAUACGACCUACGGGUGAAAGCAGGGGAUCUUCGGACCUUGCGCGAUUGAAUGAGCCGCUGUCGGAUUAGCUAGUUGGCGGGGUAAAGGCCCACCAAGGCGACGAUCCGUAGCUGGUCUGAGAGGAUGAUCAGCCACACUGGAACUGAGACACGGUCCAGACUACUACGGGAGGCAGCAGUGGGGAAUAUUGGACAAUGGGCGCAAGCCUGAUCCAGCCAGACCGCGUGGGUGAAGAAGGCCUUCGGGUUGUAAAGCCCUUUUGUUGGGAAAGAAAAGCAGCAGGUUAAUACCCCGCUGUUCUGACGGUACCCAAAGAAUAAGCACCGGCUAACUUCGUG